GGGGACGUACCGGUUUCGACAGGGGCCAUGAAGCUGUGCUCGCGUGCCGCGGAGCCUUUGGCCGCGUAUCAAAAGGCAACCCUACAAGUGCCAACGACAACGUUGAACUUGCCCUCGCCGCGUAAGACGUAAAACACCUUACCGACGACGGACGCGAUGGCCGUGCCCGCCGGGCCGCGCGUUCGUACACAGGUGGGCUGGCCUUGCGCGCAUGUCUCUGUAGCGCACGGCGAGAUCGGAAAGGCCGUCGCGGAUGGACCCUGUCGCCUGGGGGACGCCGCGCCGUACAAAUCAGGCGACUACGCACGUAGACAGUCCAGUGGACGGUUUCUGGACGCGGGUUCGACUCCCGCCGUCUCCACCG
rnacentral:tmRNA from 1 species